ensembl:tRNA tRNA:Val-CAC-2-6 transfer RNA:Valine-CAC 2-6
GUUUCCGUAGUGUAGCGGUUAUCACGUGUGCUUCACACGCACAAGGUCCCCGGUUCGAACCCGGGCGGGAACA